rnacentral:lncRNA from 1 species
GGAAGAAUGGCCCUUUGGAAUGAAUUGUUUCAUUCCCCCAGCUACCUCCCCCUGCCCGGGGUCUGUGGCGCCUCUGGCCAAAGAAUUCACAUGGCCAAGUGAGGGCCAAUGCUCCAGCUGGAAGGUGGCACCUGGACUGGGCCAGGGCCGGACAGCGGGGAACAGGGAGCCUCAGCCCUGUAGGCAAGCCUUCAAAGUGCGAUUCCUUCGAGUUUGCUCGUUAGCUCUGGGUGCUCAGCUCCUGCCGGUGCUCCAUAUGCCCUCUCGUCUGGCUCACGGAGGACGGGUGGAGUCCGCCGCUGCUGGUUCAACUGCUGUGCAGUCACACAUCAUGGAGCCUCUGGGAGCUCCACUCUGCACCUGCAGGCUGGAGUGAACACAGCAGAGGCCCAGCGCUAUGAUGAAACAGCUCUGACCUGACAGACCCCCGAAAGUGGUCCUCGAGCCACACUGUGGGGGCUGCUGGUCCAGCAACAGCCAGGCAACCACCAGAAGAGCAAAGAACUGUCACAACAGCAAAGAGGAAUAAAAAUAAUCACAGGAAGGGCAGACACUUAGCCUGGGGAUGUGAAGAGGCAGGGAAGAAAGCUGGGC